CGGAGGGGCUAGCGUUGUUCGGAAUUACUGGGGCGUAAAGCGCACGUAGGCGGCCGUUUAAGUUAGAGGUGAAAGCCCGGGGCUCAACCCGGAAUUGCCUUUGAUACUGGACGGCUUGAAUCCGGGAGAGGUGAGUGGAAUUCCGAGUGUAGAGGUGAAAUUCGUAGAUAUUCGGAAGAACACCAGUGGCGAAGGCGGCUCACUGGACCGGCAUUGACGCUGAGGUGCGAAAGCGUGGGGAGCAAACAGGAUU
rnacentral:rRNA from 1 species